UGGGGAAUAUUGGACAAUGGAGGGAACUCUGAUCCAGCAAUUCUGUGUGUGUGAAGAAGGUUUUAGGACUGUAAAACACUUUUAGUAGGGAAGAAAAAAAUGACGGUACCUACAGAAGAAGCAACGGCUAAAUACGUGCCAGCAGCCGCGGUAAUACGUAUGUUGCGAGCGUUAUCCGGAAUUAUUGGGCUUAAAGGGCAUCUAGGCGGUAAGACAAGUUGAAGGUGAAAACCUGUGGCUCAACCAUAGGCUUGCCUACAAAACUGUUGAACUAGAGUACUGGAAAGGUGGGUGGAACUACACGAGUAGAGGUGAAAUUCGUAGAUAUGUGUAGGAAUGUCGAUGAUGAAGAUAACUCACUGGACAGAAACUGACGCUGAAGUGCGAAAGCUAGGGGAGCAAACAGG
rnacentral:rRNA from 1 species